rnacentral:rRNA from 1 species
UACGAAGGGGGCUAGCGUUGUUCGGAUUUACUGGGCGUAAAGCGCACGUAGGCGGAUCGUUAAGUUAGGGGUGAAAUCCUGGAGCUCAACUCCAGAACUGCCUUUGAUACUGAGGAUCUUGAGUACGGGAGAGGUGAGUGGAACUGCGAGUGUAGAGGUGAAAUUCGUAGAUAUUCGCAAGAACACCAGUGGCGAAGGCGGCUCACUGGCCCGUAACUGACGCUGAGGCACGAAAGCUAGGGGAGCAAACAGG